GGGCUGGACGGGAGGGCGGGCUCCCCGGACUUCGAGCCCGCCCCCGCCCGGCGUCCCCUGUGCCCGCGGGCCAGUUCGCUCCGCCUGGCUUCUGGGCUCCCUCGGCCCGGGCGCCUGCCGUUCAGCGGCCACGUUCUUCUUGCGGUCGAGGAGCGCGCCGAGGCCUGCGGAAUUGGGGGGGUGUCGCCCACAGCCGUCAGGGACACUGGGCUUGCCCUUCCGCUGGCUUGAGCUCUAGGGAUUCCCCACCGAGGCAUUAGGGACAGGCUCAUUUUAGCCCCGUUUCACAUAGGACGAAAGCCAGGCCCAAGAAGAACAACUAACUUGCAGAGGGGCUGAGUUAGGAUCAGAACCCAGUUCUCCUGGCUCCCGCAAGGUUCCUUCCCACCCUCUGGCUUUAGCUGCCUUCCGUGACUGUUUUCCGUGGCCUGAGGAGAAGACACGGCCUGCAGAAGGGCCUGGUUGUCCCCACAGUGCCAACCCUUGAAUUUCUUUAUAAAGGUUCUCAAUCCGUUUGGGGGUGGGGUGUACCUUAGGGGCUUUGUUUAGAACUAGCGUUUUCAAGAUUUUCUUAAAUUUGUGUAAUUAGAAGGGCUGAAGUGUGGGGUUGCUGAUGAAGAUCAUGGAAGGGAGUAAAUUACUUCGGAAGUCACCCCUCAGUGCCCUGGUGCUGCCAGGGGGCUGUGGGUGCAGCCCAGCAGGGGAUGAGUUGUGCGGACUGGCCGUCUGGCAGAUUUGCAUACACCUUGGGGAAAGAAAGGCAGGGACCAGGAAAUAAUGCUCCCACCACCUGCAGACAAAGGGAGCCUCGCUACUCCCCCCCCCCCCCCCUUCUCACCUUAGGGCCCAAACCUUCCAACUGCCCUUCUGCAGCACCUACCUGCCACAGACAUGGCUCUCCGCAGUCCAUGGUUGAGAUCCCUCUGGCUGUGCACUCUUCAUCCUGCUACACUCCCCUUGAUUCUCUCCUGUGUGACUUUUGAAGAACAGAAAUCUUUGUGCUUUUUGUGCACUGGCUAAAACAUCUUUGCCUAAACCAGAGUCACAAAGAUUUCCUCCUGUUUUCUUCCAGAAGCUUCACAGCUUAUUUUGCAUUUAAGUCUAUGACCCAUUUCAAGUUGAUUUUUGUAGAAAGUAUGAGAGAAAUCUUCAGGUUCAUUUUUUUGCAUAUGGAUAUCCAAUUUUUCUUGCACCAUUUGUUGAAAAAAAUAUCGUCUCUCCAUUAAAUUACUUUGACACAUUUGUCUCAAAUAAAUUGACUAUAAAUGUG